GGGUAGCCGAGACAGCGAGCCGGGUUUGUGUGAGUCGAGCGCUUGUGGCGUGCUGUUCGUGCUGGGAGGAACGGAAGGAAGGAAGGAAGGAAGAGUGGAAGGACGGAAGGAGGAGGAGGAAGAAGGAAGGGAGGAAGAAGGGAACAGAGUUCGUGUUAAUUUUCGCAUUGCAGAUGGAUUUUCGCUUUCUUUCUCCGUGUGUCAGAGAUAAUUCAAAGGAAUGAGAGAAUGUAGGAGUGAAGGAAUAGCAGAAGGAGAGAGUAGCAGUCGUUUACAAGAAAGACAUCAGUGUAGUCAAACUAUUUCAAAAACAAAAGAUAACAAUAACUAUCAUGUGAAAAGGAAAA